CUUUGCAAUGAAUCUUGCUGCUGCUCCUUACUUGGGCCCACAUCACCUUUAUUAGCUCACCGUGAAGGUCUGCAGCAUCACUCCUGAGGCCAGUGAGAUCAUGAACCCACCACGAGGAAUUAACAACUCCAGACAAGCUGCCUUUAAGAGCUGUAACAGUCUCCGCGAAGGUCUGCAUCUUCACUCCGGAAGUCAGUGAGACCACCAGAAGCAAGAAACUCUGGACACAUCUGAACAUCUGAAGGAACAAACUCUAGACACACCAUCUUUUAGAACGGUAACACUCACCACUAGGGUUGGCAGCUUCAUUCUUGAAGUCAGUGAGACCAACAACCCAUCAAUUCCAGACGCAUUUUGGCAAUCACAAAGGUACUAUCGCCUAUCACCAAGCAGUGAGACUAUCAGCAAGUGGUAAGACCAUCGCCUAUUGGUGAGAUCAUCACCUACUGCCAAGUGCUUACAGAGUGAAAAUUGUCUGGCUUUUAAGGCUGCGAUAACUCAAGGAAUUUCCAGGGUGCUAGCGAUACAAUAUCACCUUCACUGUGCCUGGAGGCCACAAUCCUCAGGGAAGGUCAAGAAGGCAAAUGAAACACUUAAGAGACACUUAAGGAAACUAACACAAGAAACACAUCUCCCAUGGCCUAGCUAUUUUGACCAUUGCCUUGUUGAGAAUCCGAAAUUCUCCUCACAAAAUGGGGCUCAGUCCAUAUGAAAUGCUGUAUGGACGAUCUUUUCUCACAAAAGACCCCCUACUGGAUCAGGAAAUGGCCUACUUGGUCAAAGAUAUAACUUCUUUGUCAAAAUAUCAACAAAACCUUAAAAACCUACCUGAAGGAUGUCACAGAGAAAAGGGAACAGAGUUGUUUCAACUCUUUGUGGGAAGGACCAUACUCGGUAAUCCUCUCUACUCUCACUGCGAUUAAGGUGGCAGGAAUGGAAACUUGGAUUACCACACCUGAGUUAAACUUUGGACGUCCCCUGAGGAACCUGUGGAACCGUCAGCUCAGGAGUCCCAAGAUCAGCCAGACCAGCCUCGAUACACCUGUGAACCAUUGGAGGACUUGCAUCUUCUAUUUCAGAAGGAAACAUCCCACACUAAAAAGGCUCCUACCACUGAUCCUGAGGAAAAACUCCUUCCUGCUUAAAAAAGAUAAGUGAAAACAACACACUAACCAUACUCUUUGUGAUAGGAUUAUAUACUCUAGCUCCUGCCAGUACGAAAAUGCUAAUCACAUCAACCUUCCAUCUUUCUUCUUUUAACAGCAAUUUACUCCUACCUUUAACUCAGACUCGAGAAAAUGAUCUCUUCUUCCAGAGCAUCCUCUUUACCUUCCUAUUUGCUCUUUGCCUAUGCAUCCCUCCUGCUUCCUUGGAUACCUCAUAUAAUCACCCCUCCCCUUCCACUUUUUCCUAAUUUCCUCUACAAGACUCUCAACUUAACCCAGUCUCUGUUAAACCAGUCCAGUCCUUCCCUGGCAAAUGACUGUUGGCUUUGUGUCUCCCUAUCAACCUCUUCUUAUGUUGCCACUCCCAUUCCUGCCAAAAAUUGCAUCUUUACCAACUUAACCUACCACCCUUGUUAUGAAGGAAAAGACCCUUUCUGACUUCUAAAUAUGCAAUCGUUAGCCAACUUCCCCAUCUCUGAUAGGAUCAAGAAUACCCUAACAGGAUGUGCAAUCCAACUUUUACGUUCUUAGAUUUCCAACCACACCUAUUAUGCAAGCAAUGAAAAGCCCAUACAUGGCCCUGUAGCUAUGAAUACUAUCUUAACUUUCCAAGCUCCUUUAUGCAGCCAAUGCAACCUCUUAUGAGCCUGCCCCUGGGGCACCUACUACCCCAUCAGUGUAAUUACACCCUACAACUUCAAGCCCCAACUGAUCAUAGUAACCCAAACAGCUCCAUUCAGACAGCUUGUCUGCUUCUCAGGGCCCCAAAAUCAUCACUGCCUCCCUGCUUAACAAACGGUCCAGGUCUUGUAAUGGCAAACAUACUCCCUGCAUGAUCAUUCACCCCUGGGCCCCCUGCAGCAGUGCCCCCACCACUAGUGAAUGCCUUCUCAUCCCCUCUUUCAAUCACUCUCUCAAAUUGUUCCUAGUGGAUACAAAACGUUUUUUUCUCCAAUGGGAAAAUAGAACACAGGGAGCCAUUCAGUUUUCUCCCAACACCCCUUGCCAGCCAGUCACUGGAGCUACCUUGGCAAGUACUCUAGGAGUAUGGGAAAAAGAAAACAACAAAUUCACACACCUUUUUAACAUACACAACCAGUUCUGUCUACCCAGCCAAGGUAUAUUCUUCUUAUGUGGAACAUCGACCUAUAUCUGCCUCCCCACUAAGUGGACAGACAGCUGCACUUAGUCUUUCUAACUUCCAACAUUAACAUUGCCCCAGGAAAUCAAAACUUAUCAGUACCCCUCAAAGCUCAAGUCCAUCAGCACAGGGCCAUACAACAAAUACCACCUACUUAUAGGGUUAGGAAUGGCUACUGCUACAGGAACCAGAAGAGCCAGUAUAUCUACUUCAUUAUCCUACUACCACAUACUCUCAAAGGAUUUCUCAGGCGGUUUGUAAGAAAUAACGAACCUAUCCUUACUCUGCAAUCCCAAAUAGACUCUUUAGCUGCAGUGACUCUCCAAAACCGCUGAAGCCUAGACCUCCUCACUGCUGAGAAAGGAGGACUCUGCACCUUCUUAGGGGAAGAGUGUUGUUUUUACACUAAGCCAUCAGGGAUAGUACGAGAUGCCACCCAGCAUUUAUAGGAAAUGGUUUCUGAAAUCAGACAAUGCCUUUCAAACUCAUACCAACCUCUCUAGUUGGGCAACAUGGCUUCUCCGCUUUCUAGGUCCUGUGGCAGCCAUCUUGCUUUUACUCGCCUUUGGACCCUGUAUUUUUAACCUGCUUCUCAAAUUUGUUUCCUUGGAAUUGAGGCCAAGAAGCUACAGAUGGUCUUACAAAUGGAAACCCAAAUGAGCUCAACUAACAACUUCUACUGAGGACCCCUGGACCAACACGCUGGCCCUUCCACUGGCCUAAAGCGUUCCCCUCUGGAGGACACUACAACUGAAGGGCCCUUUCUUCACCUCUAUCCAGCAUGUCUGUGCCACUUGUAUGAGCACCACGAAGGUCUGCAGCUUCACUCCUGAGGCCAGUGAGACCAUGAACCCACCAGAAGGAAGAAACUCCAGACACAUCUGAACAUCUGAAGGAAAAAACUCCAGACACACCAUCUUUAAGAACCGUAACACUCAUCGUGAGGGUUCGCGGCUUCAUUCUUGAAGUCAGCAAGACCAAGAACCUACCAAUUCCGGACACAAUGAGACAGAAUUACAGCUCUUGCAGUGUUACAGCUCUGUGACUCGUCUUUCAGAACAGGGUUACACCAUAGCAAGAGAGGAACAGGUCAGGGAUAUUUUGCAGUCAUAUUUAUAUUUGCUUUUAAAUGCAUGGAUUAUUGCAGAAGUGCAGAAAUUUAUAGGGAAGGGGUGGUAAUCAUUGGAUCAUUGCCAUAGAAGGGUGGUACCUCCUGUGUGUUGUAGCGGCAAUGGUAAAAUGACACGGCAGACUGGUGGGCAUGUCUGGUUGAAAACUCCUUCUGCCUAGUCCCUGUUUUAGUUAGUCCUCAAUCUGGAUCCUAUGUGAGCCCUACCCCUGGAGUUGAGUCCCACCUUCAACCUCAUUCUCCACUCAGACAUUAACUACUUUCCCUUAAUCUUAAGGGGGCUGCAGGAGGGAGGAGGUCCAUGCACUGUAACUGCUUCCUGCUGAGUCAUGAGCAUUGGCCUUGCCUAGCACUAGAGAAGUAAAUUUCUCUGGAUGCAUGAGCUAAAGGGGAGAAACAACAUUAUAAUUCUCCAGGUCAGUACAUAAGAUAACUCAAAAGCCUUAAGCCAGCGUUGUUUUCACCUGGAAAUAUAGUAAUCUACAAGAUACAAACCUUACUAUGAGGCUAAACAAACAAGUAAAUAAAUUAGUAACAAUACAGCUGUCAAGGGUCCUAAGAUAGAUUUUAAAAAGGUGGAAAAAGAGAGAAAUACCCUUCUUCACAGAAAAUUGUGAAACUGACAAUGAUACCCUUCCUCUUCUAGAAAAUUCAGGAGCUCAAUUGUGUUUUUCUCAGUCUUCCCUAGUAGGAAGACCCUCUAUUCCCACUGGCAGCAUUAUGUUGCCAAUUCUGGAUGAAUGACUGUUGAUACUUUUAAGUAGGUAGUGGCGAUCUUCCAAAAAUUUAGAUUUAGGUUACAGUGUCCUCCAUUUGUGCCUGCAACUUAUAAGAAACAGGUUUAAUCCUGGACAAUUGUAUCCAACUAGGUAUGCCCUAAAGUUUAAAAGGACUGGGAUAGUCAACAACACCUGAUAGGGGCCCUUCUGUUUUGGUUGUAAUUGAUUCUCAGGGGAUGCUUCUUUCAAAAUGUUUACAAAGUUUCAUGAUUGAAUAGGAGGCCAGUUAAUUGUGUUGUGAGAGGGGACAAUACUUUUUGUCCAUAGGCUUGGAGGAGUUUUCUAACCUGGCUUAAGUUGACAAUAUGUGUCAACUUAUGAGUUAACUAUGUAUCUCUUUAUUAAGCAGGAGACCCCAAGCUAAACAUGGCCUCACAUAACUCGCCUCAAGUGGAUUUUUUGGGAAGUAUUUUAAGGGUCAUUCCUAUGUGUAUAAAGACUAUGGCUAAGAGAGGAACCUGGGUCUCUGAGGUCUCCUGACAUGACUUAGCUAAUGUCUUUUCAAAACAUGAUUAGAUUUUUCUAUUUUACCUGAGGAUUGAGUACUCCAUGGGGAGUGAAGGUGAUAGGUAACGUCUAAAGCUGAAUGCAAUCUAUUGGGUCACUCUAACUGUGAAGGUAGUUCCAUUAUCGCUCUGCAGACUUUCAGGUAAUUGAAACUUUACAGUUGAUCUUAUUAAGUAAAAAUUUGGACACUCAUAAUGCCUUCUCUGUCCUUGUGGGAAAAGCCUCAAUUCACUUGGUGAAGGUGUCUAUAAAAACAGGCAAAUGUUUCCUUCACCUGUAUGGUUGUAUCUGAUAAAACCCUAUUUGCUGACUGGGCUUGGUGGCUCACACCUGUAAUCCCAGCACUUUGAGAGGCCAAGGUGGGUGGAUAACGAGGUCAGGAGAUUGAGGUCAUCCUGGCCAACACAGCAAAAGCCCAUCUCUACUAAAAAUACAAAAUUAGCUGGGCACGAUGGCACGUGCUUGUAAUACCAGCUACUUGGGAGAGUGAGGCAGGAGAAUCUCCUGAACCUGUGAAGUGGAGGUUGCAGUGUACAGAGAUCGUGCCCCUGUACUCCAGCUUAGCGACAGAGUGAGACUCCUUGUCAAAAACAAACAAACAAACAAAAAAUUCUAUUUGACAGGCUUUCCAGUGUAUGCCCCUCAAUGUUGUAAAGGUUUGAGUAGAGGAAGGAGUGUGGAGUAGCUUCCUGGAUUGUUACGGUCACAAAGAUCAUAGGCCCUGGCCGUCCUCUUUAUAGUCUGGAAUAGAUUCUUUCCUUAAAUGAUUUGAGAAAAUAACUUGUAUAUUGAGACCUGUCCCAAAAGUGAGGAGUCAUAUAAAAGAUUAACUCUUUUUCAUUGCAUUGCCUCAGGGAGAAAGAGUUUUGUUGCAUUCUAGCAACCAUCCUGAGGGAUUCUUUUGUAAGCCUUUCUGUUCUGCCGAUUGAAUUUUUUCGUGGGUACAGUGUGGUGUUCCCAACAUGGGUGCAGUAUCUGACAUUAGCCAGUGGCCUGUAACAAUGUUACCUCUUUAGAUGUGGCCUCAGCCGUUUUCUUUCCCAGAGAAUUUCCUUUGAUAAUAGAAGGGCCUUCUUUUUAGUGCCUACUGCAGUGAAUCAUGGCUACCUUCUUUAAGAGCUAGACAGUUAGUUAUAUGCAAAUACUACAUUAUCUAAUGCCAAGAAAUUGAGAAUCUGCAGAUUUUGGUAUCCAUGGAUGUCCUGAAACAAUCCCUCACUGAUACUGAGGGACCAUUAUGUAUACUUUAAUAUCACACAUCUCACAAUGGAAGUAAAGCCUCCAUUAUCACUCAAGUAAUUGGCCAUCCUGUGGCUUUCUCUUAUAGGUAGGUAGUUUCAACUUUGACAUCUUAAUACUACAUCUAGAAAAAUUUCUAAGUUUUCUUAUUAGUAUAUAUGAUUUGUAUGUUCUUUGAAGUUUUCCAUGUAGGUAAUCAUGUCAUCUACAGAUGAGGAAUAUUUUACUUCUUUCUUUCCAAUUCUUAUAUAUUAAAGUAUUUUUAUUAGUAUUAUUUGUCUCAUAUUACAAGUUAAAAAUCUGCAGGACAAUGUUGAAGAGAAAUGGUAAUAGCGAGCCUUCUAGUCUUUCUUCUGAUUUUGAAGGUAGUAUUUUCUGAUAAGGAACACUUUCUUUAUUUGUACUUUAAUCUCUUAUUAUAAAUAGCUAUUCUGUUUUAUUUGAUGUUUAUUCUGUAUUCAUUGAUGUAAUUAUACUUUUUCCUACUUUAAUAUAUACGUAUGAUGCAUUAAAUAAAUAGAUUUCCUUAAGUUGAGCCCCUCCUUUCUCUUUGAAAUAAAUUUAGUGUAGAUAUGUGGUUAUGAUGUAUAACCUUACAUUUGUUUGCUCAUUGAUAUGGUUUGGCUCUGUUUUAACCCAAUCUCAUGCUGAAUUUUAACCCUCGUGUUUUGGAGGGGGGCCUGGUUGGAGGUGAUUGGAUCAUGGGAGCAGAAUUUCUCUUUAGGUUCUCAUGAUAGCAAAUGAGUUCUCAUGAGAUGGAAUUUUUUGAAAAUGUGCAGCACUUCACCCUUUACACUCUCUUCCCUGCCACCAUGUGAAGACACACUUGCUUUCCCUUGGCCCUCUCACAUAAUCUUAAGUUUUCUGAGACCUCCUAGCCAUGCCUCCUGCACAGCCUGAGAAACUAUAAGCCAAUUAGGUCUCCUUUCUUUAUAAAUUACCCAGUAUCAGGUGUUUCUUUACAACUGUGUGAAAACAAAAUAAUACGCUUAUAUUUUGCUC